ACCCCUUCUCAGCCUUCUCCCCCUCCACCCUUCAACCCCUCUCAGCCUUCUCUCCCACUGGUGAAAGAAUGCCGCAAACACAGGACACAGAAGGUGUUCCUGUAUGAUAGGAUUUUGAGAAAAAGAGUUGCAAAUGGAAGAGCAGAAGUGAAAGUUAGGUGGCAAUCCUGCACGAAAUG